rnacentral:lncRNA from 1 species
AGAAAUAAAUAGCGAACAAAAAUAUACAAAUAAUCAAAUCUUAAAUUUAAGAGUAUCAACUCUAGAAACCCGAGUAAAUAAUCUAGAACAAAGAUUAACCAUCCUAGAAAAAGGAAAAAUCAAAAUCACUAUAGAAGAAUCAGAUACACAAGAAGCUAUACAUUUAGAAAAACUAGAGGUAGAACUUAUGAACUUGAAAGAUAAUGACACUAGCCUAAUAUGCAAUGAAGAUAAAGAAUUCUCUACCAUAAAAGUAUUAGUAAAAAUUAAAAUUGAAGACGUAGAGAUAGAAACUUUAGCACUAGUAGAUCCCGGAUGUACUAGCUAUCUAAUUAAUAAAGAAAUAGUACCAGAACAUUUACUAAAAAUAUUGGAAAGUCCUAUCACAGCUACCCAAAUGGAUGGAUCACAAAAUAUCUAAAAUUAUUACAUAGAAAAUGCACAAAUAAGUUUCUUAAAUACAUGUAAUAAAUUCUAUAACCCAACUUACUAUGUUAAUAGAAUAUUAGCAAGGGAUUUAAACAUAGGCUCAGACUUUUUUAUAGGACUACGCUUUUGUAUUCAAAAUAAAGGAGGAUGUCACUUAACAAGAGAUGGAAUAAUGCUUUUUAAAAAUCUAACUUAUACACCGGUACAAACAGUAACAUUACCAACAGUAUAUAAAACAUUAAAAACACAUAAAAAGAAUUUAAUUUCUAAACCAUGUUGCGAAGACUGCCAAAAUAACCAAUGCCAAAAUAGCAACCUGUUAAAAGAAAACAAAAAUUUAGAAAAUAACUUAGAAGAUUUUAAAAAUUAUACUCUACUUAAUGCAGAAGGGCAAGAAUGCUUAAAAGACAUAGAAAAAGACUAUACUUUAAUAAACAUUGAAACCCAAUUUUACAACUUUAAAAAAGGAAUAAGCACAAUAGGAAUAAUAAAUAAUCCGAAAGACUUAGACAAUGUAAUAGCAAUUUUAGAUAAAAUAGAAAGAAUAGGAGAAAAACCUUUAGCACAUUGGGAUGCUAACGAAAUAAUGUGUAAGUUAGAUAUAAUUAACCUAGAAUACACCAUAAAGACAACAUCAAUAGAAGCUAAUAAUGAAGAUAUAGAAAAAUUUGAGAAACAAAUUAAAGAAUCAUUAAAGUUAGAAGUAAUUAGAAGAUCAACAUCUAAACACAGAUCAAUAGCAUUUAUGGUAAGAAACCAUAGCGAGCAAAUCAGGGGAAAAACUCGUAUGGUAAUAAACUAUAAAAGGCUAAAUGACAACACCAAAAAAGACGCAUAUAAGCUACCAGAUAAAAGUGAGUUAAUUAAUAGAAUACAAGGUAAAAAGAUAUAUAGUAAGUUCGAUUGUAAAUUCGGGUAUUGGCAGGUAAAAAUGCACCCAGAUAGUAUAGAAUGAACAACAUUCACCUGUUCAGAAGGACAUUAUGAGUGGCUUGUUAUGCUGUUCGGACUAAAAACUGCCCCACCCAUUUUUCAGAGAAAAAUUGAUGAUAUUCUUAGAGAUUAUAAAAACUUUGUGUUAGUAUAUGUAGAUGACAUUUUAGUAUUUAGUAGAGAUAUGCAACAAUAUUUAGGAUAUUUACAAACGACUUUUAGACUAUUUUUCAAACACGGAAUAAUAAUUAGUAAAAAGAAAAUGGAACUAUGUAAAACACAUAUUAAUUUUUUAGGAAUAACUCUAGGAAAUGGGAGGAUUAAACUUCAACCUCAUAUAACCAAAAAGGUAUUAGAAAUGCCAGAUAAAUUAGAAAAUACUAAAGAUCUACAAAAAAUUUUAGGAUUAGUAAAUUAUGCAAGAAAUUUUAUUCAAAACUUAGGAAAGAUAGCCGGACCUUUAUAUGCUAAAACUAGAAGCAAAGGUCAAAAAUAUUUUAAUAAUGAAGACAUUAAAUUAGUUCAACAAAUAAAAGAAAGAGUAAAACAUAUUCCAGACUUAAAAAAUCCACUAGAAACAUUACUUAAUUGUUCAAACAGACGGAAGCAAAUUAGGUUGGGGAACCAUAUUAAAAGCAAGACCUAAUAAAUAUAGUGAUAAAAAUGAAGAAAAAAUAUGUGCUUACCAGAGUGGACAAUAUAAAGAAAAAGGAAAUAUACCUACCAUAGAUUUAGAAGUAUUAGCCAUAAUAUAUGGUUUAAAUAGUUUUAAAUUAUAUAUCUUAAAUAAAGAAGAAGUUUUAGUAAGAAAAGAUUGUGAGGCAAUAGUUAAAUUUAGUCAGAAGAUAAAUGAUAAAGCUAGUAGUAAAAGAAGAUGGUUAAACUUUAUGGACACUAUAUCGGUAUAUAAAAACAUUGUUUUUGAAUAUAUUAAAGAAAAAGAAAAUGAAUUAGCCGAUAAAUUAAGUAGGUUACAAUUUAAAAUAAAAUCUGUUUAACCGGCUAACAUUUGUUUCAGCAUGCGACCAAUUAAUCAACAUGCAGCAGACAAAGGCAAGGGAACAACGUCUUCUUCGUCUCAAGACAUUUAUCUUCGAGAUCCCAAAACUCUAUCGAACUUCAAAACUCCAUGCAACUACUGGAGAUAAUAGACUUUGGGCCUUUUAAUUUAAUUGCUUUCCUACCUAGUAAUUAUUCUUUUAACCUAAGACCAGAACAUUUUUUAUAUAGACUCCAAAAAUGCCUAAUAGACAAUUUGUGGAUAGCACACCAUAAACCAGACCAUAAACAUUUUUUUAACCUCCAUGAAUGCUUUAUGUCAAUAUAUAUCAGAUAAAAGUAAGCCUAGAUUCAAAUAUUAUGUAAUUAUACAUGGUAAGACAAACGAAAUUUUUCAGACAUGGAUAGAAGUACUAGACUCUAUAAGUGGUAUAAAAAAUCCUCUUUACAAAGGUUUCAAUGAUUUUUCUGAAGCUUCUGAUUAUGCAAGAGGAUACCUAGGACCUAAUUUUUUCUUAUCUCCAGCAUUAAGACAAAAUCCUAACCAUAUUCCUUAGUACAAUAUCCAAAAAGACUCAGGUAAAAUAAUUUUUUGUGACCAUUGUCACUCUAUGACCGAGGCCUUCAAGAGAUUAAAUCUUCAAAAAGAGGCUCUUAUUACAGAAAACUCUAGACUCAUGGAGCAAAUACAGACUUUACAUGACAAACUGAGUAAAUUUCAUACAAGAAAGACUAAUGCCAGGACUCAGACACAGAGUUCUUCAUCUCCACAAAAGAUGGAUGAGAAGGGUGUGCAUUCCCCUCUGAAUGCUCAAAAAUUCACCGUACCGGAUAUUGGUGCAGCUAGUCCGGCUCAAACGGUAACCGGUAAAGACAAAUCAAAUCCGUGAAGGGCUGUCACUUUGCCAAAAAGUGAAGAUGAAACAGGACCUUCAUCAAAACCACAUAAGACUAGUAACUCGAAAAAGACAUUAACAGCAAAAAAAAUGAAUAAAUAAAUUGAGAUUAUUGUAAAACAGACAUUAGAAAAAUUCUUUAGUAGCCAAGAACAAGAUAAGCAUAUAGAUAAUAAAGACAAGUCAUGUACAAGCACAGAUAGAGUAGUUCCAGACAUGAAUAAUACAAACAUUAAUAUUCCAAGAUCAUCAGACGAAGAAGAUGAUAGAUUUGAAGAUAGUCUUCUCCAAGAUGCUCAGGAUCCCUAUGAAGAUGAUUGUUGACACCUAAUUUUUGCCCUCCACGACUAAAUUUAAUCCUGAGUUUCUUCAUUUUUUAAUAAACCAAAAUAAUUAUUUUAUCUAAAUAAAAAAAGCUGAAAAUAUUUUUCGUACGUGAUUUUGUUAUUUUAAGUAGUGAUUAUAUACUAUCGUGUUCAGUUAUACGAGAUUAUAUAAUUUGUUACUUAAAUAUUUAUUUUACAAAAUAUUAGAUUUAAUUAAGGCUUAUCUUGAAAAUAAAUUCAAAUAAUUAAAAUCUUAAUUUAAAUAUAAUUUAUUCUCAAAAAUAAUUUAUUUGAAUAAAUAUGCAUUCAUUUUAUUAAAUCAAAAAGCUCGGGAUUAAACAAAAAGGUAUUAAUUCUUAUCGAAUUUUAAUUUAAUUUAGCCAAUCUAUUAGAUUUGACCAUAAUUGAAAAUUGGUCAUAAUUGCAAUGCAAUUCGUCAAUUAAUUUUUAAUUUGGUAAAAAUAAAAAAAUAUGGCUAAAUUUUAAAUUUCAAUUGGGGUUAUAUUUUAAAUAACCCCAAAAUUCUCAAGAACUCUCAUAACUUUUACCCAAUUCCCACCAAAAAAUAAAUUCAAAUUGUACUAUUCCUCCCAACUUUGUCCUUUUCCAAUUUUAAAAUUCAAAGAUUGUACUACAUUGUACUAUUUCCCCUCCACAUUAUCUUCCACCUCACUUUAUCUUUAAUUUUUACAUUCCAAAAAUCUCCCAAAAUAUUUUUUCUCCCACAUUGGUAGAUGACAAGAAAUAAAUCUCUAUCCUUUCCUAUAAAUACUUUUCUCCCACAUUGGUGGAAAAGGAAAAAAAAAUACCCCAUUCUCUCCUAUAAAUACUACCACUACUUUGGUAGAGAGAGAGGGGAGAAGGAAGAAAAAAAAAGGCUAGAAAGAGGAAAAAAUCCUUUUGAGCAAAAAAAUAGUUAUUUUUAUUUAGUAAAAAUUUUUUGUUUCAUAAAGUUGAUCGGCUAAUCAAAAUUUUUGAGUUGCCGACGACGUUUUUUGGUGGUGGUUGAUUCCAACGAAACUCGUAGUCUCGUUUUGUUGCCCCCCCAAAAGGUAAACACACCUUCUUUUUUUCUUUUCUUUUUUUAUUUUUUUUAUUUUUUUUAUUUUAGUUUUUAUUAUCGUUUUUCUCUUCAUCUUUUUUCUUCUUCGUAGUUCAUAGAUAUAAUUUUAUUUGUUGGGAUUGUAUGUUAUAGAUGGCCUUGAAGGCCCUAGGACGUUGUGGUAUCGAUAUUCUAAUUAUUUUCAUGUUCAUGAUAUAAAAAUGAGCUAGCAAUAGUUGUAUGUGCCUUUUUUUGAUUUUAUUCUUUGUUAUUUUAGAUAAAGUUUCAAUCUUUGCUUAAAAGAUGUAUUUAUGCUUUUUUUUAAACUCAUUGUUGUUGGAUACAUUUAUUUUUAGUAUGUAAAGUUAUUUUCUUUAUGUUUAGAAGAAUAGUUAAUGUUGAAUGUUUUGCCUUUUCACCUUAUUCUUUGAUUAUUUUUGAUAAAGUUUAGAUCGUUACUUGAAAAGACAUACGCAUGUCUUGUUUAAACUCAUUGUUGGUAGAUAUAUUUGUUUUUAGCAUGUAAAGUUGUUUCCUUUAUGUUGAAAAGAAUAGAUAAUAUUGAUGGUUUCUCUUUUUUUUUUACUUUAUUAUUUGAUUAUUUUGGAUAAAGUUUAGAUCUUUACUUGAAAAAUAAUAACCAUGUCUUGUUUAAACUUAUUAUUGGUAGAUAUGUUUUUUUUAGCAUGUAAAGUUGUUUAUUUUAUGUUGGAAGAAUAGUUAUUAUUAUUUGUUGCGCCUUGAUAAAAAUAGUAAUUAGUUAAGUCAAGAAUUUGUCAUUUGCUUACUAAUUAUUUUAAUGGGUUUCAAAACCCUCAUAUAAGAUAUGAAGUGCUAGCUUUAUUUUUCAUUCAAGAUGUUUAUUCCUUUUUGUUCGCAUAUUGUCUUUUCAAAAUGAUAAGAAAGUUCGAACUUUCGCAGCUAAAUAAAAUUAUUUGGAUAUUUUUGACUCAUGCAUAGUAUGAUUGUGACACGAUAUUUCACUUUUAGAAAUGCUAAACUUUUAUUCUUAUUUUCUUACUCCGGAUUGUUAUAUGUGCUCUUUGUGUGUGUAAAGACUUGAUUCAUGUCACUCUUUUAUUCAUAAUGUCAAAUGAGAAUCAACGAUGUCUUAGAAAUAUAAACCUAGUGUUAGUUACCAGAUGAAAGUUCUGAGGUGCAGUUAAAGAAGUAAGUUGUUAGGAACAUAAGUUAAGAUGAAGAGAUGAACUGGGUAAGAUAAAAAAAAAAUUGAAAAAAUUAUAGAAAAUAAGAAUGAUAAACGUAAAGAAACAAUAGGAAAGAAGGAGCACUGAGUAGGAUUUUUACAAAAAUCUUGAAUUAUCGCCUAUUUUAUUGCUCCUAUUUUAUUGUUAUUGUAAAUCUUGAAUUAUCGCCUAUUUUAAUGUUAUUUUAUCGCCUAUUUUAAUACAAUUCUAUCUUUGAGGUGGAUAGUUAAACUUCACAUUAAUUAUGUAUAUAAUUGAAUUUUUCUAUACUUAAAAAUUGCGCUUAACUUUUUCAUAAUAGACAAUUAAUAUAUAUUUUUAAAUAAUAUUAAAUCAACAUUCAUUAUAUUUAUGAUAGUUAUUUUUUAUUGGAUAAAUAACUAGCCAUCAAAUUUUAAUAAUUUGUAUUAUUCAAAUUUAAAGAAAAAUAUCAAACUUUAAUAAUUUGUAUUAUUCAAAUCCAAAAAAAUUUCGUCGCUGAUAUUUAUAUGAGAUAAAAGAUUAAUUAAAAUUAAGUUAAAAAUAUUGAAAAAUACGCAUGGCAUUUCUAUAAAUAUGCAAAUAAAUUAACUGAAUAUGAUAAUUUCAAAUGAUGGCUUAGACUCUUUCUAUUAUAUUUUUUUUGGUAAUGUUCUGAGACCUUAUUUGAUUUAACUUUUUAUAUAAUAAUUUAUUUAACCUGAGAACAAAAUAAAGAUUUAAAAAUAAAUUUAUUUCUAAUGUCAUUAUCCUUGUUAUAUAUAAUUUAAAUUUUCUUAAAAAUAUUUUAGAGAAAAUAUUCCUUUUUAAAUCCCUAGAUAAAAAUAAAAUUUUACAUUCCCAAAAAAGACUCCAAUUAAAAUUAUAAUAAUAAAAUUUUUAAGUAUGCAUACUUCCAAGUAAAAUCCAAAAGAAAUCUCCAACUAAAUUAGCAAUCAUAAAUAUUAGCAAAAUUACGUAAAAUAUUAUAUAAUGUAAAAAAUAAUAAUAUAAAAAUAAAUUAUAUAUUUUCAGAUCAUGAAUGUGACACGUUAAUAUUUAUUUGAUAUCAAAAUAAUGCGUAGAAAAUAUCAACAUUUAAAAUUAAUAAUUUUGCUAAAAUAACAAUCUAAGAGGGGUACUGAGAGGUCAAAAUUGGGUGUCAACACAACUAACCCGAUUUAUUCCCAUAAAUUGGAGUCCGUGGAUGGGUACAGUUUACGCAGAUCAUAUUGCUAAGGUAGACAGGUUGUUUUCAAUAGAUCCUCGGUUCAAGAAAAAUAGUUUGAAACUGUCCAUUUUCAAGAAAAAUAUUAAUGAAAAUUGAUUUAAUAUUAAUCGUUGAUCAAAUAUGAUAAACAAUUGAGAUUAGAAGUGAGGAGAUGAGUCAAAUUGAGAUUAGAUAUUGGGUUAAAAAAUUGAAUUGAGGAUUUCGAUUAAGUCAAAUUAAACUCAAUUGACACAAAUUGAGUAUAAAAUGACUAAAAUUUAAAUAAAUUAGGAAAAUUGAAUUGAAUUAAGUUGAUAUUUAAUAAAUAUAGUAACUAUAUAAAAUUGAUAUUAAAAAUAAAUGUAAUAAAAAUAAAUAAAUGUUGAUCGACAGCUGAGAUCUAAAGAUUAAGAAUUUGAUUUAAAAAAAUUGAAUGAAAUUUGAAAUUGAGUUCAAUUGGACACAAUUUGGGCUAGGAUUGUAAUAAAUUGAAUAAAAUUAGACUAAAAUUAUUACAAAUUGGCUGUCACACCCCUUUUUUAUAAAAAAGAAUUGAUUUUAAAGUUUCGAAAGAGUUUUUAUUAUCAAAGUGACAAAAGGUUUAAAAUUUAUUUUGAAAAGGAACUAUUUACAUUUUUUAUUCAAAAUCUCCACUUGACAUUAAUUCGAUGUGUCAAAUCACCAUUGAAAAAUCCUUUUAAAAAAUCAUUUGACUCUUUAAACUGAUUUGCGAACAGGAAUUCCGACUAAGGAAUUCUGUUAACCGAGGGGAAGAUGUUAGGCACCCUCGAUCCCGUGGUUUGACCACAAUCGCUUGGUAGAGCGUAUCGGCUAUCUCGACACUACGGAUAUAUAAACCACACAUAAGCACAUAAAACAAGCAACCAAACAAACAAAGCGAAUCCAAAAUAUAGUAUCCAGUCCAAUUUAUACAGUCCAAAAUAAAUAAUAACUAAUAAAAAAAUGUGAAAAUAAGUCCUAACGAACCUACACUAAUCCUAACUACGCUCCCGCGCUUUACCCGAUGCCUCGAACCUUCAUCAUGAACGUCUCCCGCCAACAUAGUACAUUGGGGCAUUCCCCGGAGAAUAAAUACAAUGUGUCUCGAGACAUUCCCCGACUAAAUGAAUACAUUUAAAUUGAAUGCGAUAGACUAGAGAAAAAUAUUCACACGUCAUUCCACCAUUCAACCACAAACAAAAAAAAACUUAGUCCUAAAUUUGCCUACCCGAACUUACAUUAGCCUAUUCAAUUCAACGUAUCAUAAUAGUAUCACGUUUCAUAUCAACAAUCGAUCAAAAUUGAUUCGAAUCCAACCUUAUCGUCAAUUUUUAAUUCCACCCCAACUUCCCUUUUUAUCAAUCGCCAUUAAACAUGAUCAAAUUAAUUCCUCAAAUCACUAAGCAUCAUGAUCGCAACAUCAACAUCAAACAAUCAGAAUCACCUAACACACAAUCAUGGCUAUUUUAACGAAUUGAAAUAAAGAAGGAAGAAUGAGUUAAAGAAAUGGAGCUUAACGUCGCUUUUGAUGAAUAUUAUUUAACAAAAUAAAGAAAACUCGCCUAUGAUAACUUCGACUUGAGCCUCAACGAAUCUGUCCAAACUCGGGACUGAGUAUCGCAAAAAAUAGGGAGACCCGACCCGAUUAUGAUAAACCCACCCAACUUCGAGCUAGAGGUCGUGAGAAUAAAAGCAAUCUGAACCAGAUUCUAACGGGUACAGACGGGAUUGAGGACAAAUCCUAGUUCAGCGGACUGUUUUUAUGUCGUCGUGACUCCGAUCGACUUCAGCAAUAACCGAAGACUAUAAAAAAGUACCUGAUGUGAUGUAUUCCGAUGAUUCAGCUAGGUUUGCGAUGAUUUUGACGCGUUUCCGGUGAGUCUGUUGCCGGAAACAGUGGCCUCCCGCAAAAUCCGCAUCCCUCUACUCGUGAUUCUCCCCCUCUUCCGUGACUUUCUCUCUCGAUCUGAACUUUUCGGUGUGUGGUGUAUGCGAUUUAGUGCCUUGGAGCUAUGUGUGUGCGUGUAUAAUGGUGCAUCAAAGGGAAGAAGAUGGAUUUUGUUUGUAGGUCAUCUUAUGGCAGUGGAGUGGUCAAUUCUGUGAGUAUGAGUGUUGUAUUCUUGAGGAAUUUGUGUGUAAUCCAGUGUGACCAGUGUGUGCGUGAGUAUAAGAAGGAAAAUAAUGGAGUUCCCUUUUUCUCUCCCAUGACCAUGAAAAUACCCCCUUUAUGAAUGAAGAGGAAGACCUCUUUAUCCAAGAAAAAGCCAAAAUAUUACGUGGGCCCCACUUUUUAUUAUUGUGG